rnacentral:rRNA from 1 species
AUGAACGCUGGCGGCGUGCCUAAUACAUGCAAGUCGAACGCUGGAGAUCUAGCUUGCUAGAUCGAAGGAGUGGCGAACGGGUGAGUAAUACAUAAGCAACCUACCCACGAAGACUGGGAUAAUCUCUGGAAACGGGGACUAAUACCGGAUAGGUAAUCGGAAGGCAUCUUCUGGUUAUUAAAGGUUAAAAACACUGGUGGAUGGGCUUAUGGCGCAUUAGUUAGUUGGUGAGGUAACGGCCCACCAAGACGAUGAUGCGUAGCCGGCCUGAGAGGGUGAACGGCCACAUGGGGACGGGGACACGGCCCAGACUCCUACGGGAGGCAGCAGUAGGGAAUUUUCGGAAAUGGGGGCAACCCUGACCGAGCAACGCCGCGUGAGUGAAGACGGCCUUCGGGUUGUAAAGCUCUGUUGUAAGGGAAGAACGGUAGAUAGAGAAUAUCUAAGUGACGGUACCUUACCAGAAAGCCACGGCUAACUACGUG